AGGCUGUGGGGAUAAUUGCAGCAGUUGGGGAAUCUGUCACUAACUUGAAAGUUGGUACUCCAGCUGCAAUCAUGACUUUUGGAAGUUAUGCAGAAUUCAUGAUGGUACACUGUCUGAAGAAUACUAUUCUUUUUUUCUUUCGAUGUUUACUAAGAAGUGCUUUCAUAUGUAAUGUCAGGAAUGUUUCCAAGUUUACACCAAUCAUGAUUCUAUUCUAUUUUUUGAUAUCUUUCUUUUGUUUAUUUUUACUAUCAAUUACUAGUGUAAUAACUGAUGAGCUUUGCACUUGAGUUAGGUGCCUUCAAAACACAUCCUUCCUGUGGAAAGACCAGAUCCAGAAGUUGUCGCUAUGCUUACUUCAGGGCUGACUGCAUCAAUCGCUCUAGAAAAGGUUAAAUGUAUGCGUAUGUGUAGUCGGAAAAUAAUGUGUAGUCCAAAAACUGUUAGUGCACAUAUAUGUAUUUGUGUAUCAGAAUUGCAUAUUAUUUCCUUCGCUGAAUUCUUGGUGGUCACAUUCAGAUGAUAACGUCGUGCCCUUUUUGUAAUAACUUUCUAGCCAUUGUGCAUUAUAUUCUUUGUUCUGUAGCCUUCAUUAUUUUUAAUAGUUUGUGUUAGAUUAUUCACUGAGACGCACCACUUGUCUUACAAUUUCUUUUAUUAUGAACCUCUAGGCGGGAGCGGGACAACUGGAAUCUGGAAAAGUAGUUCUUGUUACUGCUGCUGCUGGAGGGACUGGACAAUUUGCAGUCCAGGUUUGGUUUCAAAUAUAGGAAUAGCUCUUUAUGACAUCCAUGCUUAGAAGAAGACGAAGAAGAAGAAGGGUAGAUGAAAUGAUUAGUUUCCCAAUUUAUUUGUUAGUUUCCUAGGUUCUCUAGUUUUCCAGAUUUUAGCAGGCACAAAAGCACUGCCCUAGGGUUUAGGCACAAAAGCACCAGCAGGGCAUUUAAUUUAGGCUACCGCUUUCUUUCUUUCAGAAAAUCCACUUCAACCUCAGUUUCUUAAAGAUUAUGGGAUCCAAUCACUCAGGAAAAAGUUAUAACCUAGUUUGUGGUGCAUUUGGGGAUUGAAUUUAAACAGAGUUGGAAAGGCUAGAAAACUAUGAUACUAUUGUUCCUUACCAUUAUGGAAGAAGACUCAGGUAAAAUAUGCACUUCCUCGGGAAUGAAAAAAAAUUGAUCAUGACUUUUUUCCAACUACAUUUAGAAAAUAAAAGGUGUAUUCCUUAUGUCCUAAGAUUGUAAUCCAAAAGACCACCCUAGAUUUCUUUCCUAGUUCCCUUCGGGAAGGAUUGUCCGCCCUUUUUUUAUUAUUUUUUUGAUAUAAAAAAAUUUGUUUAAUUUUGCCAGUUGAAUUAUGACGUCAUAUGAUGUCAACCUUGUCUUUCUUUGCUCAAACAUUACUCUUAGUAGUCUUUUAUACGCACAGCUUGCAAAGCUAGCUCGAAAUACUGUGGUUGCAACUUGUCGAGGUGAAGAAAAGGCGAAGCAUUUGAAAGAAUUGGGGGUGGAUCGAGUCAUAGACUAUAAAGCUGAAGAUAUCAAGACAGUAUGUCUUUUGAAUCUUUCCCGUUGAUUUACGAAAUUGUUUCUUAGUUGUAUUUGGUGGAAUGGUAAGGUGAAAAUGGACCCAUAAUGGAUAAAGGAACACGCACAGUAAGAACUAAAUGUCUUUUGAUCUGAUUCAGUUUAAGGAGCAAUGCAAUAAUUUGAUUCUAAAGUCAUCAUUUAAGUACAAAGCAUGGGGUUAUUGAUAACUUUCAUUUCUCUAGGUUCUAAAGAAGGAGUUUCCCAAAGGCGUGGACAUUAUCUAUGAGUCUGUAGGUGGUGACAUGUUCGAUUUGUGCCUGAAUGCUCUUGCGGUUUAUGGACGACUCAUAGUGAUCGGAAUGAUUUCUCAGGUUGUGUAUUCAUGCGAGCAUAAAAGUUGUUACACUUACACUAUGAUCGUCUUUCUUGACAAUUGAUAUACUGACAUUUGAAUAGAAUUAUUGAAAUAUAGAAAAAUAUUAAUUGAAAUCAAUAUAAGCUCCAAUCAACAGUCUUAACCAUGCAUGCAGAGGUAUAAAAUUUCUAGGAUGGAUUGAUCACAUUCACAUGGAUAUGUAUGUACAGGUUCAUACUUUCCUGAAGAUAUAUAUCACUUAACUAGUAUUUUUCACUUGCCUUUUUCUUGUCUGCUCUUGACUUUCGUGGGUAUGACGUUGUUGGUUUUCAUUUAUUCCCAUAACAUGAUUCAUUCUGGACUCAGUAUCAAGGAGAGCAUGGGUGGAAGCCAUCAAACUACCCAGGACUUUGCGAAAAGCUCUUAGCGAAAAGCCAAACUCUGGUAUGUAGCUGCUAAAUGCUAAAUUGGUCCUCAUUUAAUAGACCGUUAUUUACCUCAUUUAUCCCCUUGAGUUUAAAUGUCAAGAAAUCGAAAACUAGUUGAUAUAUGACAAUGCUAAUCUUUUCAGGCUGGUUUCUUCCUAUUGCAAUACAGUCACUUCUGGCAAGAACAUCUGGAUAAACUAUUUCAUCUUUUCUCUAUGGGAAAGCUGAAGGUAAAUAUAUCUACAUAAAGCACCAACUAAAUUUACUGCUAGUUCUUAUCCAUGAACUUCUUGAACUCGAAUCAUCGGUGUUCCUGAUUGUAUGCCGGCCGCCUUCAAUUUUAUAGGUUUCUUUAGACCCAAAACAAUUUUUGGGUGUACAUUCUGUUGCGGAUGCCGUGGAAUAUCUCCAUUCUGGUAAAAGUGUAGGAAAGGUAAUUAUU
rnacentral:lncRNA from 1 species